rnacentral:rRNA from 1 species
UUCGUAUUGUUGUGAGAGAGGUGAAAUUCUUAGACCACAGCAAGACGAACUACUGCGAAAGCAUUUGCCAAGAAUGUUUUCAUUGAUCAAGAACGAAAGUUAGAGGUUCGAAGGCGAUCAGAUACCGCCCUAGUUCUAACCAUAAACUAUGCCAACUAGCAAUUUGCUUAUGUAUGCUUUAUGACUAAGUGAGAGGCCACGGGAAACCAAAGUAGGGUUAUGGGGGAAGUAUGGUUGCAAAGCUGAAACUUAAAGGAAUUGACGGAAGGGCACCACCAGGAGUGGAGCCUGCGGCUUAAUUUGACUCAACACGGGAAAACUUACCUGGUCCUGACACUAGAAGGAUUGACAGAUUGAUAGCUCUUUCUUGAUUUGGUGGAUGGUGGUGCAUGGCCGUUCUUAGUUGGUGGAGUGAUUUGUCUGGUUAAUUCCGAUAACGAACGAGACUCUAGCCUAUUAAAUAACACACAGAAUCUUGUCUUCUGUGACGUUCCUUAAUGGGAUCAAGUGUGUUUAACACUU